rnacentral:rRNA from 1 species
GACGAACGCUGGCGGCGUGCCUAAUACAUGCAAGUAGAACGCUGAAGGAGGAGCUUGCUUCUCUGGAUGAGUCGCGAACGGGUGAGUAACGCGUAGGUAACCUGCCUGGUAGCGGGGGAUAACUAUUGGAAACGAUAGCUAAUACCGCGUAAUAGUAGAUGUUGCAUGACAUUUGCUUAAAAGGUGCAAUUGCAUCACUACCAGAUGGACCUGCGUUGUAUUAGCUAGUUGGUGGGGUAACGGCUCACCAAGGCGACGAUACAUAGCCGACCUGAGAGGGUGAUCGGCCACACUGGGACUGAGACACGGCCCAGACUCCUACGGGAGGCAGCAGUAGGGAAUCUUCGGCAAUGGACGGAAGUCUGACCGAGCAACGCCGCGUGAGUGAAGAAGGUUUUCGGAUCGUAAAGCUCUGUUGUAAGAGAAGAACGAGUGUGAGAGUGGAAAGUUCACACUGUGACGGUAUCUUACCAGAAAGGGACGGCUAACUACGU